AAUAAUCUUUAUAAAUCAAGGAGCCAACACAGGAGAUUUACAGUGCAUAUUUGUUUAAGGAGAAAUUGAAGGAAUCCUGAACCAAUCAUAGAGGAAUUAUUUCUGAGGGUGUUAGAGCAAUUCAGUGUGUGUGUGUGUGUGUUGCCUGUGUGUAUAGGUGUUCACAUGUGUAUAUGGUUGGUCAUAUCUGGCUCAUGUGACACCAGAAGCCAGAGUCUGGUGUCUCCUCCACUGAUGCUCACAUUGUGACAGGGUCUUUCACAUGUCAUUUUAUCAACCUGUCUUGAAACCCACCAUAGGCUGAGAUUCAGAAACAUGACACCAUGCUUGGCUUUUUACAGGGGUGCUGGGAUUCCAAAUUCAGAUCUAUGUGGCUGCUAUGUGAGCACCUAACUCAGUGAACUGUCACUGAACUCCCAGGGCUCAUUGUUAUUACAUGUUUGUUUGUUGUGUAACAAUUACCUCUUAACCAAAACACUCCACCGUGUAGAAAGGCUUAUGAAGACUCAGGAAAUAAACAACUCACAAGUUCCAGACAGUACCUGAAACUCAGAAAAUUCAUAGUUAUCUGUCUCAAAGCUAUCUAAACAGUAAUGGAUUUGGGAGAGGACACUGUCCCAGUGUGUGAGUUACCUGAAAGGCUCUAGACAGCUCAACUGCCUAUGAGUCACGGAGAGAGCUCCUGGAAGCAGGAUUCCUGAGGAAUUAGCUGUAUUUUGUGGGAUGAUUACUGCUGCUGUUGAUUUCACGUCAUCUAUGUUGCUAUGCUGAGAGAGGCUGAAGGAACAUCUGUCUCCUUAUCACAGGACCAUCAGCUGGGAACAUUCCACACACCUGCCCCUUCCCUUUCUCCAGGAUGCAGCAGGCAUCAAGACACCUCAGGCUUGCUUCAUGCAUUUUCUAAGACCCAGGGCGUUUUCCUACUCAAUCACAACGCUCGCACAUAAAGUAAUCAGCAUUGAUUAGAA